rnacentral:lncRNA from 1 species
UUAGUCUCACCCACCCCAAAAUCUAAUCAAACCCAACCGCCCCAAAAUAACUCUCACCGGCCGGCGGCAUGCUCCAAACCACCCCAAAAUUCAACCAUGCAAUCCUUACACAUCCUUCUUCCUAAAUUCAUCAGUAUCUUUCCCUAAACCCAGCCAAAUUUUCCCAAUUUUGGAUCUAAAAUUGAAAAAUGCAAGCCCUAAUUUCCCUAUAUUCUCUUAUUUUUUCAAAUUUCGACUCGUUCUAACUCGGAUCUUACAUUAAUAGAUUACUCUCAACGGGAGUAAUCGAUUUAUGAUAGUUUUGAGUGAUUACCAGGAUGUCAGAUUUGACUGAUUUACCGACUCUGGAAAAACUUCGGCUCCUUUCAUCGUUCGUUGAGUCAUCUCAAUUUGUCAGUUCAUUCCGGCAAGAAUUGGUACAUUUCCCUUCGUUUCUCUCUUGACUUUGUUUCUUGCACCAUUUUUCUGUUUUUUAUAUUAUCAUGCUUACAUUUGUUUCGUAAUUUUGUUUUCUUUAUUAGUUGAUUAAUCUUAGUUUGUUUUGUUUUCAAUUUUUUAAUAGCAUAAGUUAGGGUUAAUCGUCAAAACAUCUAAUUUCGAAUUGUUUUAUUUUUUUCUACUUUUUAUAAUCACUGAAGUUGAUUUUGGUUUGAUCAUUUUGGCUGAUUGGGCUUUUGGUCAUCUCUGACUCGGUUUAAAGAGGUCUAUUCAUUUGGGUUGGGUCUUGGGUCAAAUUCGACCCAUGUGUGAUUCAUUUCGGAUGUAAAUCCAGGGGUGUCUAGGAAUGUUUUAGGUAUUUGAGGACUUGGGGGAAUAUUUUUUGUUGUGGGAAGCUUCUAGAUGAUAAGGUUGGGUUGGUUUAUUAAGAGAUAAGGGAGGUUUCAGAUAUUUUAGAAGGGUUUAGGGAUAAAAUGACCAAGAAAUUAAGGGGUAGAAGGGGAAUUAGCUAAUCAGGCUAGUGCUGCUUUAGAAAUGCCUCUAUAAGGACUCUUUACUUCCAAUUUGAGGUAGAUAUUGGAACCUAUAGAAAAUAUACAAAACAUUAUACAUUGUGUGAGAGAGUUCAAUGGGUUUUCACUUUUGAUUUUCCUUCAUGUAAAAAGAACAAACACACUCUGAAGCUUCAUUUUCUAGAUAUCUGAUUCCAAAAUGGGUUUGAGCUGAAGUUGUUUGCUCGAUGAUUAGUUGCUGCUUCUUUGCUUUCUUGCUUCACAGAAUUUCAAUGUUUUUCUCAUCAUUUUGCUCUUGCUCUCUAGGUAUUCUUUUGGGCUUUGAUGACUCCUGUAGCACAUACGUACUUAGAUAUAUGAAAUUGUAAUGGGAACUUCCAUGAAUGAAUCAAGGAUUUUUGGUUUCCUCCUAUAUGUGUUUUAUUGAAUCUCUAUGUCUAUUUUCGUUUAUUGUCUUUUAAUUUACUAUGAUCAUUGUGUGAUGUGCUGAAUGGAAAAUGAUUUAGGAAAAAAUUCGUAUGUUAGGAUCUAGAUGUUAAUGUCUAGAUUUUCAUAUUAGUAGAUAGCUUUUGUGGUUGCUUUCACAUUUAGGAUUGUUAAUUUGAAUGUCAUGUUAAUGUUGGCUGUUGAAAUUACAUAGUUUAAUAAUCUAAUUUUAGCAAUGUUAGAGUAUUUUGUUGGUGCAAGAAUUAGUGUGUUUUAAAAGAGUAUCUUUGGAUCCAUGUUGAUCUUACUAUUGUUUGUAAGCAGAAUUAAAAAUUUAAAUGCGUAAUAUGGUGAUGCUCGUUCUUGUCUUAUGUUUUUCUUAAAAUCCUUUAAGGGAUUACGCUAAUUUGGGCAGCCUGGAAAUAGGCCUUUCAUGCAGGUUUCCGCCCCUUGUCACUCCUUUGGACCAACUUUGAGCCUUAUUAUAUCCAUCAGAUUUUAGCUCAUCAGUUUUGUAAUUAAUAUAGUAAAAGGAGUUUCUUUAAGUAUUGUAUGGCCCUUCUCAUUUUAAUGCUGGGUUUGGAAUCUAGCACAGCCCUUUCUUGUGCUCUUUUUUUCAAAAAACAUUAAAUUAUAUUGGGCCUAUCGCUGGUCUAAACCAUUUCAAGUGAUUAAAAUGCCUGGUUUUAUCCAAUAUGAGAUUAUAAUUAGUAGGGGUAAUUUGAACCUUGAUUUAUAGUAUAUCCAUGCAUCUUGAACCCUUUUUUUAAUUAAGUAUUUUCCCCUACCAAUGAAUUGAGGUGUGCCAUUUAAUUAAAUCACCCAUGACCCUCAUAAAUGUUAUAAUUUAGAUAUUUAAAAAUAAACUUCGUAGUUUACUUUAGAUGCAUUAAUUAUAUAAUUAUCACGGCUACUAUUAAAAUUUGGGUGUACAUUUCAUGUGAUCCGGUUCUAAUUUCCAACAAGGUUAAAUAGGACGUGUUGUGUGUCAAGGAUGUAUUUCAUGUAGCGUGGCUUGCGUUUUUUUAAAUAACCUUGAAAUAGUUCCUUAAAUAAGUAAAACCGGUUUUAAAAUUAAAAAUGCACAUAGGUUUUAAAAUAUUGUAAAAUAAAAUAAUUAGGCCAAUAAAAAUUGUUGAGCGACCGUGCUAGAACCACAGAAUCCGGGAAUGGCUAACACUUUCUUCCGGGUUAACAGAACUCCUUACCCAGAUUUCCGUGUUCGCGGUCUAUAUAAUAGAGUCAAUCUUUCCUCGAUUUGGGAUUUAAACCGGUGAGUUCGGACACAAUAAAUUAUCCCAAGUGCUGACUCCGAAUAAGUAAAAACAAUCAUGUUUCGAUUGUCACUUAAAUUAGAUAAACUCCCUUAUACCCUUUCGGGGAUAGGAAAAAGGAGAUGUGACAGUAACUCCAUCGCAUGUGCACUUCGCGAGCGGGGAAAAUCUCUUCAAAAGCUUCACGUUGAAUUGUCCUAAUUUUGAAAGGAAUCAAGAAAAAGGAUUUUGAUUUUUUAAUAAUUUACAUUUAAUUGUGUCGCAUGUAUGAUUCGCGAGCGGGGUAUUUCCUUCUACUACUCCUAUGAAAUCAGGUCGUCCACUUCGGCAGGAUUUAUGUACCACAUUUUCAUGGGAGCAGGCCGUUCACCUCGGUAGGUUAAUAGAUGCAUCUAUGGUUCGCGCGUUCGAUCUCGGCAAUGCACAAACCGGCCAUUCACCUCGGUAGGUUAUUCUUAUGGAAUUUGUAAUAUUUGGCUAGAAAAUGGUGUAUCUUAGCGUUUUUCCCUGAUUUGAUUUAUGACAAACUCUUGAUGAUAUCCACUAUAUCUUUAUAUAUGCUCUGGAUAUGGAGGGAACUUGCUAGUUGAGAGCUUGAGAAAAGAAGUGUAAAGAAGGAAAUUGUACCACGUAUUUAAUACAUGUUUAUCUCAUAUAUUUACUCUGUGUCAUAUUUAUUCAUUUCUCUACUGUAUUUGAUAUUAUUGGACCACUAUUAAGUGUCGAAAUCGACCUCUCGUCACUACUUCUUCGAGGUUAGACGGGAUACUUACUGUGUAUGCAUUUCUUUGUUACUCAUACUACACUUGUUGUGCUUUUUUGUUGCAUAGGCACACGUAUGCCUAGUGGCCUCGUUGGGCGCAACAGUAUGGUGGAUAUAGUGACUUUGGUGAGUUGCAUCUCUCGAGAUGACCCUCAACCAGCCGAGUCUCCUUUAGAGUAUUGUAUUUUCAUUUCUGUCCAAUUUGUAUCCCGAACAAUUAUUGUAUUACAUAUUAAAUUCCUAAAAAAUUCCUCAUGAACUUGUGACACCGGGUUCUGGGGUGGAUAUGAACCUUAUAUUUAAGUCCAGUAACCGAAUUCUAAGACUAGCUAGAUGAUGAACCUCAGGGGUUAUUCUCCUCUUUUCUGGCUGUAAAUAUGACACGCUACCAUAGAUUUAUGGCUGAGGGCAUCGGUUACUCUUUUUGCCUUCCCCGGAUGGUAUAAAGUAUCAAUGUCAUAGUUUUUAAGUAGCUCCAACAUCUCUUAUGACAUUAAUUUAAUUCCUUUGUUUUUUUAGGAUAUACUAGAGGAUCUUAUGAUCCAUAUAGAUAUCAACACGAAUGCCAUAUAAGUAGUGCCUCCACAUCUUUAGUGCAUUAAUCAUCGUGGCUAACUCUAAAUCAUGGGUCGGGUAGUUCUUCUCGUGCAUUAUUAGUUAUCCAGAAGCAUAAGUUACAAACUUACCAUGAUGCAUCAUCACACAACCUAAUCGAACGCCUGAAGCGUCACAAUAGAUAACAUAACCAUCGGUCCCUUCUGGGAAUGGUAGAACUUGUGCUGAAGUUAAUUUGUCCUUCAAUGACUGGACACUAUGUUUGCAAGCAUCGGUCCAUUGAAACUUAAUUCCUUUCUGAGUUAACUUACAUAGGUAUCCUAAUCUUUUACAAUUCAUGAAAUUCCCCUUUUAAGAGGCCCAAACUUUAUCAUUUAUCCAUCAUACUUUUGCCCUUAUUCCACUAUUAGGGCAGCAUUUCAUCUAUUCUAUAUGCUAAUAGUCUUAGACUCCUUUGAGUUCAUUCAGGCUAUACUGAGCCUUCUGCAACUUAGUGAAAUCAUCAGCUCUGGUAUGAACUUAACCCUAAGGACUUAUCCAUUCCCGUUACCUUUUCACUUAUCUUUUCUUAUCCUUCAUCUUGUCUUCUAAAACCUUGUCGCUCUAUCAAAUUUUAGCUAGCUACCUACACCUAUCUAUUUAUACUUAUUCGCAACCUUCCUUCAAAUUUCUUGUGCCAAAGAUUCCCUUAUGUUAUUCUGGAACAUCAAGCAAGACACCACAUACCACUUUGGUCAAAGUUGCUUAGAAGAGAAGAAAAUUCUGUUACAAGUUUCCCAUAAUAACCUGCCAAACGGAGAAGGCACGAAUGUUCGUCAGUGUUGUGGGUCUAGGCCAAGUCUUCACUGCUUCAGUCUUUUGUGCAUCCACCUGGAUGCCUUCACAAAAAAUGAUAUGUCCAAAGAAAGCUACAGAGUUCAACCAAAAUUCAUAUUUAGAGAAUUUUCCAUGCAACUUCUCUUUUUAUAAAAGUUUGAGCACAUUGCGCAAACGGAUUUUCAUUCUCAGCCUCUGAACGAGAAUAUACAAAUAUAUAUCAUCGUUAAAUAUGAUUAUGAACAUAUCUAAAAAGGGCCUGAACACAUAGUUCAUCGAAUCCAUGAUACUGCUGGGGAAUUGGUCAAAUCGAACGACAUAACACAAAACGCAAAGUGGCCGUAUCUGGUUCUAAAUGUUGUCUUCGGAAUACUUCAUCCUUAACACUUAUCCGAUGGUACCCGGACCUCAGUUCUAUCUUUGAAAAACACUUGGCACAUUGCAACUAAUCAAAUAAAUCAUCAAUCCUCAGGAGCAGGUACUUAUUCUUAAUGUUCACCUUAUUGAACUGUGUAUAAUCAAUACAUAUAUGUAGGGAACCAUCCUUCUUUCUCACAAUUAAAUAGGUUCUCCCCAUGGUGAUGUACUAGGUAUGAUAAAGCUAUUUUCCAAGAAAGUCCCUUAGUUGUUCGUUUAACUCCUUCAGCUCUGCAGGGGCCAUUCUAUAGGGAAGAAUAGAUAUUGGAUGAGUAUCUGGUAUUAGGUCAAUGUUCUCGCUCUGGGGAAAGGC